rnacentral:rRNA from 1 species
GAUUAACGCUGGCGGCGUGCAUAACACAUGCAAGUCGAACGAUGAAACUUAAAUGAUUUCUUCGGAAUGAACUUAAGUGGAUUAGUGGCGGACGGGUGAGUAACGCGUGAGUAACCUGCCUUACACAAGGGGAUAGCCGUUGGAAACGACGAAUAAUACCCUAUGAAACUAUCACUUCGCAUGAAGCGAUAGUCAAAGUGUUAGCGGUGUAAGAUGGACUUGCGUCUGAUUAGCUAGUUGGUGAGAAAAAAGCCCACCAAGGCAACGAUCAGUAGCCGGCGUGAGAGAGGGUACGGCGACAUUGGGACUGAGACACGGCCCAGACGCCUACGGGAGGCAGCAGUGGGGAAUUUUGCACAAUGGGGGAAACCCUGAUGCAGCGACGCCGCGUGAUUUAGAAGGCCUUCGGGUUGUAAAAAUCUUUUGUAUAGGAAGAAAAUGACAGUACUAUACGAAUAAGGUCCGGCUAAUUACGUG